rnacentral:rRNA from 1 species
UGGGGAAUAUUGCACAAUGGGCGAAAGCCUGAUGCAGCAACGCCGCGUGAGUGAUGAAGGCCUUCGGGUUGUAAAGCUCUGUCUUUUGGGACGAUAAUGACGGUACCAAAGGAGGAAGCCACGGCUAACUACGUGCCAGCAGCCGCGGUAAUACGUAGGUGGCAAGCGUUGUCCGGAUUUUACUGGGCGUAAAGGAUGCGUAGGCGGAUUUUUAAGUGAGAUGUGAAAUACCCGGGCUUAACUUGGGUGCUGCAUUUCAAACUGGGAAUCUAGAGUGCGGGAGAGGAGAAUGGAAUUCCUAGUGUAGCGGUGAAAUGCGUAGAGAUUAGGAAGACACCAGUGGCGAAGGCGAUUCUCUGGACCGUAACUGACGCUGAGGCAUGAAAGCGUGGGUAGCAAACAGGAUUAGAUACCCUGGUAGUCCACGCCGUAAACGAUGAGUACUAGGUGUAGGAGGUAUCGACCCCUUCUGUGCCGCAGUUAACACAAUAAGUACUCCGCCUGGGAAGUACGAUCGCAAG